AGUGAACGCUGGCGGUAGGCCUAACACAUGCAAGUCGAACGGCAGCACGGUAAGAGCUUGCUCUUACGGGUGGCGAGUGGCGGACGGGUGAGGAAUACAUCGGAAUCUACUUUUUCGUGGGGGAUAACGUAGGGAAACUUACGCUAAUACCGCAUACGACCUACGUGUGAAAGCAGGGGAUCUUCGGACCUUGCUCGAUUGAAUGAGCCGAUGUCGGAUUAGCUAGUUGGCGGGGUAAAGGCCCACCAAGGCGACGAUCCGUAGAUGGUCUGAGAGGAUGAUCAGACACACUGGAACUGAGACACGGUCCAGAAUCCUACGGGAGGCAGCAGUGGGGAAUAUUGGACAAUGGGCGCAAGACUGAUCAAGCCAUACCGCGUGGGUGAAGAAGGCCUUCGGGUGGUAAAGACCUUUUGUGGGGAAAGAAAAGAAGCAGGUUAAUACCCCGAUGUUCUGACGGUACCCAAAGAAUAAGCACCGGCGAAAUUCGU
rnacentral:rRNA from 1 species